rnacentral:rRNA from 1 species
AUGAACGCUGGCGGCAUGCCUAACACAUGCAAGUCGAACGAGAUCUUCGGAUCUAGUGGCGCACGGGUGAGUAACGCGUGGGAAUCUACCCUUGGGUUCGGAAUAACUCAGAGAAAUUUGAGCUAAUACCGGAUGAUGACGUAAGUCCAAAGAUUUAUCGCCCAAGGAUGAGCCCGCGUAAGAUUAGCUUGUUGGUGAGGUAAAGGCUCACCAAGGCGACGAUCUUUAGCUGGUCUGAGAGGAUGAUCAGCCACACUGGGACUGAGACACGGCCCAGACUCCUACGGGAGGCAGCAGUGGGGAAUAUUGGACAAUGGGCGAAAGCCUGAUCCAGCAAUGCCGCGUGAGUGAUGAAGGCCUUAGGGUUGUAAAGCUCUUUUACCAGGGAUGAUAAUGACAGUACCUGGAGAAUAAGCUCCGGCUAACUCCGU